ensembl:lncRNA
GGGGGCCAGUGUAGAUCUCUUAGGACCGGUGUUAUAUGAUCUCGGCAGCCCCUCCCAGUCACCAGUCUGGCAGCUGCAUUCUGGAUUAGUUGUAGUUUCCAAGUCACCUUUAAAGUUAGCCCCAUAGUUAGAGCUACAUUGCAGUAGUCUAAGCGGGAGGUAACCAAAGCCUUGGCGCAACCGUGUACAGGCUCAUAGGGUCUCAGCCGUUGUACCAGAUGGAGCUGGUAGACAGCUGCCCUGGACACGGAAUUGGCCUGCGCCUCCAUGGACAGCUGUGAGUCCAAAAUUACUCCCAGGCUGCACACCUGAUCUUUCAGGGGCACAGUUACCCCAUUCAGGACCAGAGAAUCCCCCACACCUGCCUACCACUUGUGCCCCAGAAAUAGUACUUCUGUCUUGUCAGGAUUCCACCUCAAUCCAUUGACUCCCAUUCCCCCCAACCACUUCCAGACAUAGGACAUUCACAUUUCACUGGUUCCAAUUUAAACAAGAGCUAGAGCUGGGUAUCAUCUGCAUAUUGGUGAACACCCAACCCAAACCCGCUGAUGAUCUCUCCUGGUGCUUUCAUAUAGAUGUUAAAAAGCAGAAUUGAGUCCAAAAUGGGCUCUUCAUAUCACAAUAGAAUGAUGCGGAUAGGCUGUGAGUAUGUAUGCAUAAACAUGUAUGCAUAAACAAACAAACAAAUGCAAAAGCUCUCAGUUGUCACAGAUGCAUCUCAAGCAUGUUUUCCAAAGACACCAGGUUUUAUUCAGGCUACUUUAAACAAAGUCAGGAAAAUCUAGUGCAUGAAACUGCCUCAGGUAGUAUUUCACUUCAAGCAGGAGUGUUUGUACCAGCUGCCACUGUGCCCCUGGGUCUCUGUGAAGUGGGAGCAUUGCUUAACUUGAAAGCUUUUCUCUCCCCCCCCCCCCCCUUAAAUACAUAUUUCCUUUCAUUUCAGAAACUGCCUUCUGGGCUCACAUUUGCAGUGACAACGCUGUGCUCAGAGGGAAUGUGUAGCAGCCGAUCGUCUCUAGUAAGAGUUGGCAGAUGGGAAGUGGUUUCUCUGCAAGAUGGCAUUCGGCAGACACUCUGGUACUACAAACUUGCUGAAGCUGUGUUGGUGCAAGAAGUGAAUUGAAUCUUGGAGCGCUUCCACACUGUCACUGUUUUUUCAGGUGGGAUUCAGUCACACACUGGCAAAUUCAAGUUGUGAAAUUAACGUCAAUUGGACGGCCCUGCACAACAAAUCUGCUUCUCCAAAAGACUGGACAUUUUGAGAUAAGGAGACUAAAGGGGAAAUGCACUGGAAAGUGUGAGGUAACACUUGCUGUGGUGCAACAUCAUUUAAUCUCCCUGCAAACAAAACAAGUUGAAUACUCAAUAAGAAGGUCAUCUGGAAACACCCAAUCAGAUUAAAGCACAGAAGUGUUGGAGAUAGAGCCAGUAGUUGUUAAACAAAGAAAGGGAAGGGAUGCAAAACAAGUUAGGGUAAAUAGCUCCCUGUGAACAUUUUUUUAGCUAAGAUUAUAUUUUCUUAAAGGAUUUCUGAGGAUUAACAGACAGAUUCUGAUUGAUCUCAUUUUAGGGUAGCUGGUGCACAAUUUUCCCGCACUGCUGAUAGGGCAUUCAGGCUUCAUCCAUGACCACCUGCUUCUCUCAGAGGGCUUCUUAAGGUGAUCAUGCGGCGUGUGAAAUGUCACAAAACCAGGAGCUGUACCAUUCCGCCAACCCCAUAAAAACCUCCACAGUGCUGCAGCACAACUGUGCUCAGGUUUAGGGUUUGAAGUGGAAGGGUUUAAGCCAGGGGUGGGGAACCUGUGGCCCGCCAGGUGUUGCUGGGCUCCAGCUACCAUCUGCCCCAGCCAGCAUGGCCAAGGGCCAGAAGUCCCCCAAUUCUGGUUUAAAUCCUUCCUCUUACACUGCACUGUUCAAGUUGAGGGCUACAAUUCUCCACCAGAUCUAACCAUAACUUUAGGUCCCUGUGGGCCCCUAGCUUGCACCCACCUAUAUAAGAUUCCAUUUUUGACCCAAGGGUCUAUUCCACUUGGCUGCAUGAAUACCAUUAACCUUAUGAGACAAUACCUCAGGAAAGCAUCCUCACUCCCAAAGCACGGGGUGUGGGUGUGUAGGCCUAAGAGACGCUUCUUUCCGCCGUAUACUGAAUCCACCAGUGUUUGCCAUAGUGUGGAGAGGGAAAUUUCCUCACACAUAAUGGGCACGCCAAUAGGGAGAUGCAUGUGAUUGUUUUCUUAUGCACAGCUGUCGCAGGAUAUUUGGGAAAGGAUGCUUCCUCCUCCCUCAGG